AGAAAAAGAAAAAGAAAAAAGAGAGAGAGAGAGAGAGGAAAGAAAGGGAAGAUGAAAAAGAAGGUUCAGUCCAGAUGGGCCGCAAGUGCUGGGAGAAUUAACUGAAGAUAUAAAACCUUCUUUUACAAAAUGAAGUACCCAAGUAUUUGGUGGAACUGAAGAUAAAUUUCAUGUGCUUCCAGCUUGGCCCAUUGGAUACAACAUACUACCAAGGUGUUGAGAUCCUGAGUGGGCUUUUUCAGAGAAGUCUGGAGGCAGUA